AUGCAGGGUCUCCCAGGGAGAGAGGGAGGGCCCCCUGGACCCCCCGGCACCCCCGGGGCCCCGGGACAGAUCCUCUACCAGCCGUCAAGUGACGGAGGAGCUAGUUACCCAGGGCGACCAGGAUUCCCGGUACGUGUCGCCAUCUCCGCCAGUCAGAGAACAAUCAGAACAACAAUUUUUUGCAUUUUUACAGCAUGUGAUGUUUUUCACUUCAGGGGCCGAUCGGACCCAAGGGAGACCCCGGACAGCCAGGGAUCCCAGGAGAGGCGGCUAAGGGAAACAAGGGAGAGCCAGGAAUCAUCAGAGAUCGGGACGGGAACGCCAUCUACCUGGGAGGGCUGUCUGGAGCCCCGGGGGUUCCGGGACACCCUGGCCCUGUGGGACCACCAGGUUCGUAUGGUCCUUCUGGUCCAAAGGGGGACAUCGGGUUUCCUGGCAGACCGGUCAGUUGGGUCCUGUUCAUCCUCCUCAUCCUCUUCCUCCUUUGUAUCCGUCUGUUCUGUAAAACCCAGAUAUUCAACAUGUUCAGAGGCUUUAAAGACAACGUGGAUGCGGUUGAUACAGAGAAUAUGUAGAAUUUUUUUAGAAAAUGGCAGAAAUAACCACAGCAUGUCGUUCAUUGGUACUUAUUGUGGACUGGUUAGAGCUGACAGUAUCAUCUGGUUGAGGCAGGCUGGCCCACAGACCUUUGGGGUCUAG
rnacentral:lncRNA from 1 species